GACGAACGCUGGCGGCGUGCUUAACACAUGCAAGUCGAACGGAAAGGCCCUGCUUUUGUGGGGUGCUCGAGUGGCGAACGGGUGAGUAACACGUGAGUAACCUGCCCUUGACUUUGGGAUAACUUCAGGAAACUGGGGCUAAUACCGGAUAGGAGCUCCUGCUGCAUGGUGGGGGUUGGAAAGUUUCGGCGGUUGGGGAUGGACUCGCGGCUUAUCAGCUUGUUGGUGGGGUAGUGGCUUACCAAGGCUUUGACGGGUAGCCGGCCUGAGCGGGUGACCGGCCACAUUGGGACUGAGGUACGGCCCAGACUCCUACGGGAGGCAGCAGUGGGGAAUAUUGCACAAUGGGCGGAAGCCUGAUGCAGCAACGCCGCGUGCGGGAUGACGGCCUUCGGGUUGUAAACCGCUUUCGCCUGUGACGAAGCGUGAGUGACGGUAAUGGGUAAAGAAGCACCGGCUAACUACGUG
rnacentral:rRNA from 1 species